rnacentral:rRNA from 1 species
GCGGUGAAANGCGUAGNAGAUCUGGAGGAAUACCGGUGGCGAAGGCGGCCCCNNNGACAAAGANUGACGCUCAGGUGNGAAAGCGUGGGGAGCAAACAGGAUUAGAUACCNUGGUANUCCACGCCGUAAACGAUGUCGACUUGGAGGUUGUUCCCUUGAGGAGUGGCUUCCGGAGCUAACGCGUUAAGUCGACCGCCUGGGGAGUACGGCCGCAAGGUUAAAACUCAANUGAAUUGACGGGGGCCCGCACAAGCGGUGGAGCAUGUGGUUUAAUUCGAUGCAACGCGAAGAACCUUACCUACUCUUGACAUCCAGAGAACUUAGCAGAGAUGCUUUGGUGCCUUCGGGAACUCUGAGACAGGUGCUGCAUGGCUGUCGUCAGCUCGUGUUGUGAAAUGUUGGGUUAAGUCCCGCAACGAGCGCAACCCUUAUCCUUUGUUGCCAGCGGUUNGGCCGGGAACUCAAAGGAGACUGCCAGUGAUAAACUGGAGGAAGGUGGGGAUGACGUCAAGUCAUCAUGGCCCUUACGAGUAGGGCUACACACGUGCUACAAUGGCGUAUACAAAGAGAAGCGACCUCGCGAGAGCAAGCGGACCUCAUAAAGUACGUCGUAGUCCGGAUUGGAGUCUGCAACUCGACUCCAUGAAGUCGGAAUCGCUAGUAAUCGUAGAUCAGAAUGCUACGGUGAAUACGUUCCCGGGCCUUGUACACACCGCCCGUCACACCAUGGGAGUGGGUUGCAAAAGAAGUAGGUAGCUUAACCUUCGGGAGG